UGUAAAGCUUGCACCUCAGGUAACUGUAAAUACCAACUGAUGUCGUGAUGUCAUCCUCGUGAACUUUCUUAAGUACUGUGUGUUUCUCUUCCUCAUGGAGCUCAAUGACUUGAGCAUUUUCUGCUUCUUUAUGCUUUUUCAUUUAAAACGUGUUUUAAAGCAUAUUCUCACUGAGUCUCUUGUCUGUCGAUGGAAGCAUUGACCCUCAGAAGAUGUGCUGUGCAGCCUGAGGUCAGCAGGCAUUAACCUGGUACCUUUACUAUAGCUGUUAGAGCUCAUGUGUACAGGUCGUCCUCGAGCCCCAGCUGCUGCUCUGGGGAUGUCGUGGUGCUUUUGAGUGGGUGUUGCCUACAGAGAAGCUGCCUCUGUAGGGCGGGCGGCCAAUGUCUUGGACAAGUCAGGCUCCAUGAGGAGCUAUCUAAGUUCUUCUUUUCUUUUUGGAAGAUUGGGUUUCUCGGAGAGUUGCCUGAUUUAAGUCUAGAUAAAUAUGCCACAUCUCCUUGUGGGAAUUGCAUGCUGGGAGGCAGUUUUAAAGAGUGGAAAGUUUGGGGAAAUACUUUAGUUUGUAUUUGAAUGAGUCUGAUGUGUCUGGCGUUUGAGCAUGGGCACCUUGAGUGUGGGUGAGGACCUGCCAGCGGAGCCUCCUGGGAGGCGGGGAGAGAAGAUCCGCUGGAGACACGAGUCUCCCAUUGUUUCACAGGGUGACUUCCUCAGUGCACAGGCAGCUCAGGAUGGGAAGAGGAGCCACCAGCUGGCUCACGCGCAUUUAAACUUGAGUUCCUCUGAUGUCUGAGUUAGUCAGCAGUUCAUGGGUUUAGCAAACCCAAAAUAUUUUAUUAAGAAACUGUUUCAAAAAUAAAUUUGCACUGCUCGUUUUUUCUUGCCCCACCCCUCUUGAUUGGACAAAAGGGUGAAGAGCUCAAAAACCUCGACUUCCCCCCCACUCCCUUUUCAUAGUGCACCAUGAAGGGGCCCUUGGGAGAUGUCUUACCUCUGUGUUGAAUGGAGACCUACCUGGGUUGAGAUGUGCCUGCUCUUGCAGAAGUGCUUUCGUAUCAGGAACGUGUACACUAGGCCCUGUUCCCGUCCACAAGCUGAGCCAUAUGUACGUAAUCUAGACUGUUUUUUUAGGUCUGCACUUUCAUAGCCUAUUUUUUGAAGAUUAACACAUUUGCAGGGUGAUGACUCCAUCUUUGUCUGAAUGCAGUGAGUGUAAGAGGAGGCUCGCUCUCAGAGACCGUACAUGUGAAUCUGGAGGGGUUAUACAGUCGGGGCCAAAAGUUAAAACCUGUAUUUAAAGAAAUAAUCACCAAAUCUAUUAGAAAACAAGUCUGUGUGAAAUGCUGAAAUGUCGGGGCUUUCAGAUUCCUCUAGGUACAUUUUCUGAAUGCGUUAAUGGGAAUUCCAGGUUUUUUCUUUAAACAGCCCUUUGUGCUUCCGUGUGUCUGGUCAUCAGUAUUAACUCUGGGAUACUACUGGCUGUGUGUCUUUCCCUGGGAGGCAACAGUACGCGUGAGGAGGUACACUCGUUGCAUUUUUGUUAACGUAUUUAUUUCAUUCCAGUUUGAUUUAUUUUAAUUGUUGAUACUUAAGUUGUCAGUAGACAAGCUUUAUUUAUGAUAUAUUUCAGCUUAAAGUUAUGUUAUUAUAUGUGGAUGUAAAUAUAGACUUGGUGUUUUACAGUUCC
rnacentral:lncRNA from 1 species